rfam:Asian citrus Psyllid, Diaphorina citri - Florida Strain, whole genome shotgun sequence.
AUCAGUGGUGAUAGCACUUUGAGUACACCAGUUUCCAAUGAAUCAAUCAAGUUAUGUUGAGCAACUUUGCGCGAGGUUGUUAUUCGGAUGGGAGACCAUCUGGGCGAUAGCGUACUGCUGGCU